rnacentral:lncRNA from 1 species
UUCGACCACGCCCUCUCCCGCAUGGUCGCGUAGGCCGUCGUCGCCGUCGCCGCCGCCUCAUGUCUCUCGACGACGACCCGGCCUUCUUCAGGCAGCUGCCUCGCAGCAUCUACAGCAGAGAUGAGAACGCCGCCGAGGAGCGCAAUGCUGAGGAGGAGGACGGUCGCGGAAGCAGCAGUGGUGAUCUUCAUAGGUGAUCGAACGACGUUGAUGGCGAUCUCGAUCGAAGUCUUAUUACAUGCACAAACUCUACAAGGAUAGGAGGUUUUAUGCUGGUUAUUACAGGC